rnacentral:rRNA from 1 species
CUACGGGAGGCAGCAGUGGGGAAUUUUCCGCAAUGGGCGAAAGCCUGACGGAGCAACGCCGCGUGAGGGAUGAAGGCCUCUGGGCUGUAAACCUCUUUUAUCAAGGAAGAAGAUCUGACGGUUCUUGAUGAAUAAGCCACGGCUAAUUCCGUGCCAGCAGCCGCGGUAAUACGGGAGUGGCAAGCGUUAUCCGGAAUUAUUGGGCGUAAAGCGUCCGCAGGCGGUCUGUCAAGUCUGCUGUUAAAGCGUGGAGCUUAACUCCAUUUCGGCAGUGGAAACUGACAGACUAGAGUGUGGUAGGGGCAGAGGGAAUUCCCGGUGUAGCGGUGAAAUGCGUAGAUAUCGGGAAGAACACCAGUGGCGAAGGCGCUCUGCUGGGCCAUAACUGACGCUCAUGGACGAAAGCCAGGGGAGCGAAAGGGAUUAGAUACCCCUGUAGUCCUGGCCGUAAACGAUGAACACUAGGUGUCGGGGGAAUCGACCCCCUCGGUGUCGUAGCCAACGCGUUAAGUGUUCCGCCUGGGGAGUACGCACGCAAGUGUGAAACUCAAAU